GUGCAGGAGGGGUUUGGAGGUUGUUGCAGAUCCAGGGGUUCUCCUUGGAGUUUUGGCUGGGGAUGGCAGGACAAAGGCUGGAGCUGAGUGAGACGCAGGAGCUGGAGCAAAAAAGAAUAAAGUUGUUGCCUGCAGGCUGCAAUUGACUGAAGGCCUCCUACACAAGACAACAAAGGACCAGGGGGCGUCUGAGGCAAUUGAAGACAAAAUUAUAAAAAAUGCUGUGACCACAAUGGACAGUAUGGCCGCACUGGUGGACAGGUACCGGGAGCACCUUUGUGUCCUGCUGGAGGAAGAAAGGGGCCAGCGUAGGAGGAGUUGGCAGAUUGGCCUAAGUGCCAUCGAGGAGCACCAGCAGCAGCUUGUGGAAGUCCAGAGGAGAGCCACAGAAGCCCUUAAUGAAAAGGACACCGGUGUCUUCAUCCAGAGGUUCAUGCAGCUGGAAGAAAAGCUAAGAGGCGUCAUUAGCAGCUCCCUUCCCUCCAAUUUCCCAUCCAAGGCCCCUUCAACACCACACGACUGCAGGCUGGCCUCAAAA
ensembl:lncRNA